rnacentral:rRNA from 1 species
AUAGCAUAUCAAUAAGCGGAGGAAAAGAAACCAACAGGGAUUGCCCUAGUAACGGCGAGUGAAGCGGCAACAGCUCAAAUUUGAAAGCUGGCUCCGGCCCGCGUUGUAAUUUGCAGAGGAUGCUUCUGGCGAGGUGCCUUCCGAGUUCCCUGGAACGGGACGCCAUAGAGGGUGAGAGCCCCGUAUGGAUGGACACCAAACCUGUGUGAAGCUCCUUCAACGAGUCGAGUAGUUUGGGAAUGCUGCUCUAAAUGGGAGGUAAAUCUCUUCUAAAGCUAAAUACCGGCCAGAGACCGAUAGCGCACAAGUAGAGUGAUCGAAAGAUGAAAAGCACCUUGAAAAGGGGGUUAAACAGUACGUGAAAUUGUUGAAAGGGAAGCGCUUGUGACCAGACUUGCGCCGGGCAGCUCAUCAGGGGUUCUCCCCUGUGCACUCUGCCCGGCUCAGGCCAGCAUCGGUUCUCGUGGGAGGAUAAGAACGGUAGGAACGUGGCCCCCCUCCGGGGGGGUGUUAUAGCCUGCCGUACGAUACUCCCGUGGGGACCGAGGUUCGCGCUCCGCAAGGAUGCUGGCGUAAUGGUCAUCAGCGACCCGUCUUGAAACACGGACCAAGGAGUCGUCCAUUAGAGCGAGCGUUUGGGUGUAAAACCCGCACGCGUAAUGAAAGUGAACGCAGGUGAGAGCUUCGGCGCAUCAUCGACCGAUCCUGAUGUCUUCGGAUGGAUUUGAGUAAGAGUUUUAACGGACGGACCCGAAAGACAGUGAACUAUGCUUGUAUAGGGUGAAGCCAGAGGAAACUCUGGUGGAGGCUCGCAGCGGUUCUGACGUGCAAAUCGAUCGUCAAAUAUGAGCAUGGGGGCGAAAGACUAAUCGAACCGUCUAACCCGCC